rnacentral:lncRNA from 1 species
UUCACUCCAAGAUUGUAAGCGUUGAAAUGAGGAUUAUUUUGAAAGGUUGCUUGCACCAUACAUUGAGCUUCUAGUUGUUUGGUAAUGAUUUGUAGAAAGACAUUAUUGAACUUGCAACUAGUUAAAAGUGCCUCUUGAUUGUAUGAUUCAAACAUAUCUUCCUUCCUCCUUACGAUUUGCUCGUGCUGCUAUCUCAAUUUCAGAAUCGAAAUCCAGCUUAAUUGGACCUGUUCUCCGCAUGCACAAUGAAGCACACAAGUAGAACGCUCCGGGAGAAAAAUAUAAGACAGAAAAAUAAAGAAAACACAGAAAAUAUGAACACUAUCGCCUUGUCGAAUCAAUCACAAUCCCC